GAGAAUCUACUUAUGAAAUUUUCGGAUGGAUUAGGUAGAGGAAAGUGGCGAACGGGUGAGUAACGCGUGAGCAAUCUGCCUUGUACUGGGGGAUAACGUCGGGAAACCGGCGCUAAUACCGCAUAAUACUAUGAGAUCGCAUGGUCAUAUAGUCAAAACUCCGGUGGUACAAGAUGAGCUCGCGUCCAAUUAGCUAGUUGGUGGGGUAAUGGCCCACCAAGGCGACGAUUGGUAGCCGAACUGAGAGGUUGAUCGGCCACAUUGGGACUGAGACACGGCCCAGACUCCUACGGGAGGCAGCAGUGGGGAAUAUUGCGCAAUAGGAGGGAACUCUGACGCAGCAACGCCGCGUGAAGGAUGAAGGUUUUCGGAUUGUAAACUUCUUUGAUCGGGACGAAAUUGACGGUACCGAGGAACAAGCCACGGCUAACUACGUGCCAGCCGCCGC
rnacentral:rRNA from 1 species